GCCGCGUGUGUGAAGAAGGCCUUCGGGUUGUAAAGCACUUUCAGUUGUGAGGAAAGGUUGAUGGUUAAUACCCAUUAGUUAUGACGUUAGCAACAGAAGAAGGACCGGCUAACUCCGUGCCAGCAGCCGCGGUAAUACGGAGGGUCCGAGCGUUAAUCGGAAUUACUGGGCGUAAAGCGCACGCAGGCGGUUUGUUAAGCUAGAUGUGAAAGCCCCGGGCUCAACCUGGGAAUAGCAUUUAGAACUGGCAGACUAGAGUCUUGGAGAGGGGAGUGGAAUUCCAGGUGUAGCGGUGAAAUGCGUAGAUAUCUGGAGGAACAUCAGUGGCGAAGGCGACUCCCUGGCCAAAGACUGACGCUCAUGUGCGAAAGUGUGGGUAGCGAACAGGAUUAGAUACCCUGGUAGUCCACACCGUAAACGCUGUCUACUAGCUGUUUGUGGAUUUA
rnacentral:rRNA from 1 species